UAGGGAAUCUUCCGCAAUGGACGAAAGUCUGACGGAGCAACGCCGCGUGAGUGAAGAAGGAUUUCGGUUCGUAAAACUCUGUUGUUAGGGAAGAAAAAAUGUAUAGUAACUAUAUACAAAAGAGACGGUACCUAACCAGAAAGCCACGGCUAACUACGUGCCAGCAGCCGCGGUAAUACGUAGGUGGCAAGCGUUGUCCGGAAUUAUUGGGCGUAAAGCGCGCGCAGGUGGUUUAGAAAGUCUGAUGUGAAAGCCCACGGCUCAACCGUGGAGGGUCAUUGGAAACUAAUAAACUUGAGUGCAGGAGAGAAAAGUGGAAUUCCUAGUGUAGCGGUGAAAUGCGUAGAGAUUAGGAGGAACACCGGUGGCGUAAGCGGCUUUUUGGCCUGCAACUGACACUGAGGCGCGAAAGCGUGGGGAGCAAACAGG
rnacentral:rRNA from 1 species